rnacentral:rRNA from 1 species
AGCGUAUAUUAAAGUUGUUGCAGUUAAAAAGCUCGUAGUUGGAUUUCUGUUAAUAAUUUAUAUAAAAUAUUUUGAUGAAUAUUUAUAUAAUAUUAACAUAAUUCAUAUUACUAUUUUUUUUAGUAUAUGAAAUUUUACUUUGAGAAAAUUAGAGUGCUUAAAGCAGGCAUAUGCCUUGAAUACUCCAGCAUGGAAUAAUAUUAAAGAUUUUUAUCUUUYUUAUUGGUUCUAAGAUAAGAAUAAUGAUUAAUAGGGACAGUUGGGGGCAUUUGUAUUUAACAGUCAGAGGUGAAAUUCUUAGAUUUGUUAAAGACARACUAAUGCGAAAGCAUUUGCCAAGGAUGUUUUCAUUAAUCAAGAACGAAAGUUAGGGGAUCGAAGACGAUCAGAUACCGUCGUAGUCUUAACCAUAAACUAUGCC